rnacentral:piRNA from 1 species
UNGCCCAAAGGUAAGUAACAAGCUCACCAGGU